rnacentral:rRNA from 1 species
AGCAGCCGCGGUAAUUCCAGCUCCAAUAGCGUAUAUUAAAGUUGUUGCAGUUAAAAAGCUCGUAGUUGAAUUUUGGGGUCAGUAGAUUGGUCGUGCCACUGGUAUGCACUGGUCUUACUGGCUCCUCCUUCCUGAUGAACCGUAAUGCCAUUAAUUUGGUGUUGCGGGGAGACUGGACCGUUACUUUGAAAAAAUUAGAGUGUUUAAAGCAGGCUAACGCUUGAAUACAUUAGCAUGGAAUAAUGAAAUAGGACGUUCGAUCUUAUUUUGUUGGUUUCUAAGAUUGACGUAAUGAUUAAUAGGGAUAGUUGGGGGCAUUAGUAUUCAAUUGUCAGAGGUGAAAUUCUUGGAUUUAUUGAAGACUAACUACUGCGAAAGCAUUUGCCAAGGAUGUUUUCAUUAAUCAAGAACGAAAGUUAGGGGAUCGAAGACGAUCAGAUACCGUCGUAGUCUUAACCAUAAACUAUGCCGACUAGGGAUCGGAUGAUGUUAAUUUUUAAUGACUCAUUCGGCGUUCG